AGGACGCGCGCCUCCCAGGUGCCAGAGUUCGUAUAUGACUCCAGUCCUGGCGCUGGAUGCUGCUGCUGUUCCAGCUUCCUAGGUGUGGAAACUGAAGGACCAAGAGAUUAAACAGGAAUCUCUGAGGACAAAUGGGAAUUCUCACUGAUUUCUAGGACUACCCUGGGGCAGGCACCCUGCACAGCAAUACACACUGAACAAUGUCGAGUUUCUGCUGAAUAGACUUCCUACGUUGCUCUGGAAUUCGAAGUUGGCCUAACUGAGGUCUCCAGUUACAGAAAACACUGGCUCUGUAUCCUGGGCUUUGAGAAAACUUAUCAGGCUGUCACACUUACCAUCCCUUCAGUCUGCUUGUCAGGUUCCUUAAGGACGCAUAUCUCAAAUGUAUGGCAUCUACCUCUACCUGGGUCACAACCAAGUGGGUUUCUACUAGAUCGGUGUUCCUUGACAGCCAACAAGGGAGCUGACACUGCCCUCCUAAGUUCUGAUCUUGCUCCUGUUCAACUGGAACUUGAUGGAUCCCAUGUGGUUUCCCCCAUCCUGACGCUGUGGCUCAGACACUCUCCCUAAGCUGGUCCUUCCCUCCAAAUCCUGCCUUAAACACACUCAGAAGGUAGAAAACACUUCAGCAGCAAAGUCCUCUUCCCAAGCCAACAGUUGUGUUCUUCCAAUCACAUGAUCUUACCUUUUCAAUAAAAGGCAAAACAAACCAAUUUCCAACAUAGCAUUACAGCCUUUAAAACCAUUCACUUCUCAUAGUGAUUCACAGAGAACAAGAGAUUAAAGUGCUGGAUUUUAAAUGUCUAAA
rnacentral:lncRNA from 10 species